UGCGUUUCGUGUUAAAACAGACAGUUAAAUCCAGUCUCGUUUUACUUUGUACAGUAAACAUUUUGACCCAAAAAUUUCUUAACGAUUCCCUUAAAAAAUUUCGCAACAUAAAUCUUACUACUAUAUGCUUUGACUUAUUGGUAUUGAAGUUUUAGAUCAGUUAUGCAUGUGUCAACUUUUGGCGUUGAAGAAUCAAAGGGUGAAAUCAGAAUCAGAAGCAGAAGAAAGUGAUGAGCAGCUGCUUCGGUUUGAGGUCUGAUCCAGCUAUCAUGGAAACCGAGCUGACUAGUAACAGAGAAAGGAGUUUUGGUAGCAUUUUUGGUUCUACGGUUAAGCCUAGACCCCUCAGAUUUCAACCUUCUG
rnacentral:lncRNA from 1 species